rnacentral:rRNA from 1 species
AGUGAACGCUGGCGGCAGGCCUAACACAUGCAAGUCGAACGGCAGCACAAGAGAGCUUGCUCUCUGGGUGGCGAGUGGCGGACGGGUGAGGAAUGCAUCGGAAUCUGCCCAUUUGUGGGGGAUAACCUCGGGAAACCGGGACUAAUACCGCAUACGACCUACGGGUGAAAGCAGGGGAUCUUCGGACCUUGCGCAGAUGGAUGAGCCGAUGCCGGAUUAGCUAGUUGGAGGGGUAAAGGCCCACCAAGGCGACGAUCCGUAGCUGGUCUGAGAGGAUGAUCAGCCACACUGGGACUGAGACACGGCCCAGACUCCUACGGGAGGCAGCAGUGGGGAAUAUUGGACAAUGGGCGCAAGCCUGAUCCAGCCAUGCCGCGUGUGUGAAGAAGGCCUUCGGGUUGUAAAGCACUUUUGUUGGGAAAGAAAAGCAGCCGGUUAAUACCCGGUUGUCAUGACGGUACCCAAAGAAUAAACACCGGCUAACUUCGU